CGUCGAUCAACAGUUGCGACUACAAUAAUUUAUUAUUUAUAUAUUAAGUGUGUUAUUCUGAAGUGAACAAAAAUUAUUCGAAGUGCGUUACAGAUUCAAUCAUUAUUUACCAGUUAGCUGCAUAAAGGAAGACCAAUUUAUCCUGAAACAUUGAUUGACCCAGUUCCGGAUGUCAUCAUAUCCGACCACAAACCGCUGCACGACUUAGGAACUGGGCCAUGUCCGGAAAAAAAAAAUCCUCCUGGAUCGAAUUCUUAGCGUAGGUAAAAUCUUUGCCCAGAAUACCCGUCCUUGAGGAUUUAGUGGAGCGAUAACGGAGGGCAAUGUGAAUAAAAAGAACUCUUUU